rnacentral:rRNA from 1 species
GGGUCAGUAGGUUGGUCGUGCCACCGGUACGUACUGGUCUCACUGAUUCCUCCUUCCUGAAAAACCGUAAUGCCAUUAAUUUGGUGUUGCGGGGAAACAGGACUGUUACUUUGAAAAAAUUAGAGUGUUUAAAGCAAGCUAACGCUUGAAUACAUUAGCAUGGAAUAAUGAAAUAGGACAAUCGAUCCUAUUUUGUUGGUUUCUAGGAUUGACGUA